UUGCAUGAAUUGAUUUCAAGUGUGGUACAAAAGUGAAUUUUUGAGAUAGCCAUUUCUAAUCAAUUUGGCCAUUCAAAUAUGUUCAGAAAUCAUAUUUUGGUCAUGUUACAAAGUCAUUUUCGUGCAGUACACACAGCCAUUCCUAACUUGCUUGAAAAUUGGCCAAAAGUACAUUUUUCACCAACUCCAUCCCACCUUUUCAUGGACUGUGAUUUGUACCCUUAAACAGAGUAUUUAAACAUCAUUUUUCUGCUAAAUGAAACCCUAGCAGC
rnacentral:lncRNA from 1 species